CAACAGUUGGAAGCGACUGUUAAUACCCGAUGUGCCGCAAGGUGAAAGAUUUAUCGCCUGAGGAGGAGCUCGCGUCUGAUUAGCUAGUUGGUAAGGUAAAGGCUUACCAAGGCAUCGAUCAGUAGCUGGUCUGAGAGGAUGAGCAGCCACACUGGGACUGAGACACGGCCCAGACUCCUACGGGAGGCAGCAGUGGGGAAUUUUCCGCAAUGGGCGAAAGCCUGACGGAGCAAUACCGCGUGAGGGAGGAACCCCUUCGGGUUGUAAACCUCUUUCAGCAGGGACGAAGCGAAAGUGACGGUACCUGAGGAAUAAGCAUCGGCCAACUCCGUGCCAGCAGCCGCGGUAAUACGGAGGAUGCAAGCGUUAUCCGGGAUCAUUGGGCGUAAAGCGUCCGUAGGUGGUUUUUCAAGUCUGCUGUCAAAGCCCGGGGCUUAACCCCAGAUAGGCAGUGGAAACUGGGAGACUAGAGUUCGGUAGGGGUAGCGGGAAUUCCCGGUGUAGCGGUGAAAUGCGUAGAUAUUGGGAAGAACAUCGGUGGCGAAGGCGCGCUACUGGGCCGAAACUGACACUCACAGGACGAAAGCUAGGGGAGCGAAAGGGAUUAGAUACCCCUGUAGUCCUAGCUGUAAACGAUGGAAACUAGGUGUGGCUUGUAUCGACCCGAGCCGUGCCGAAGCUAACGCGUUAAGUUUCCCGCCUGGGGAGUACGCACGCAAGUGUGAAACUCAAAGGAAUUGACGGGGGCCCGCACAAGCGGUGGAGUAUGUGGUUUAAUUCGAUGCAACGCGAAGAACCUUACCAGGGCUUGACAUGUCGCGAAUCUUCUAGAAAUGGGAGAGUGCCUUCGGGAGCGCGAACACAGGUGGUGCAUGGCUGUCGUCAGCUCGUGUCGUGAGAUGUUGGGUUAAGUCCCGCAACGAGCGCAACCCUCGUUUUUAGUUGCCAUCACUAAGUUGGGCACUCUAGAGAGACUGCCGGUGACAAACCGGAGGAAGGUGAGGAUGACGUCAAGUCAGCAUGCCCCUUACGCCCUGGGCUACACACGUACUACAAUGGUUGGGACAACGGGUAGCGACCCCGCGAGGGCAAGCGAAUCUCAUCAAACCCAGCCUCAGUUCAGAUUGCAGGCUGCAACUCGCCUGCAUGAAGGAGGAAUCGCUAGUAAUCGCAGGUCAGCAUACUGCGGUGAAUUCGUUCCCGGGCCUUGUACACACCGCCCGUCACACCAUGGAAGCUGGCCACACCCGAAGUCGUUACCCUAACCGCAAGGAGGGGGACGCCGAAGGUAGGGCUAGUGACUGGGGUGAAGUCGUAACAAGGUA
rnacentral:rRNA from 1 species